rnacentral:lncRNA from 1 species
GGCAAGAAUACGGCAGUUCCUUCUCUUUGGGUGCUGACAGUUUACAAGGGUGGUUACGUGUUGUGAUGGGGGAAAGCUGCACAGGGGACCCCACAGCGUUAGAAGAGAGGAAGGGGCAGGGAGAAGACUUCCAGAGGAACUGCCCUUUAAGCAGAUUCUUGAAGAACAGGUGAGAAUUAGGUGAAGAGUGUUUGGAACAGAGGGAACAGCACAGGAGAAAACCUGGAGUCUGGCUCAUGUUUCUUCAAAAAGCUCUAAGCCAGUUAUUAAUAACAGCCCAGUGAGUCUCCUGAUCCAUCUAGGAGCAUAUGGUGUUUUCACGAAAGAGAGAGAUCAUCUCCUUGACUUUGAACUUCGCUUUUUGAACGCCUGAACAGACUGGUAGAUUCGAUUCUCUAUCUGGAUGAAACAGAAAGGAAGGUUGUCUCAGAGAAGAUCUGCUUCCCAAAGUGCUACCCUAUAACUCAGGAGGAACCAAGGUUGCUAAGAGACCACCUGUGCUGAAUCCACUUUGUUCUAGCAAGAGCAGACGGAAAGAACACCAAGGAGCAGUGUUAGCUGUCACUACCUGGGAUUAAGGCAGG